GACGAACCGUGCAAACGUUAUUCGGAAUCACUGGGCGUAAAGGGCGCGUAGGCGGCCUGAUAAGUAGGGGGUGAAAUCCUGCGGCUUAACCGCAGGGCUGCCUUCUAAACUGUCAGGCUUGAGCACAGUAGAGGCAGGUGGAAUUCCCGGUGUAGCGGUGGAAUGCGUAGAGAUCGGGAAGAACAUCAGUGGCGAAGGCGGCCUGCUGGGCUGUUGCUGACGCUGAGGCGCGACAGCGUGGGGAGCAAACAGG
rnacentral:rRNA from 1 species